rnacentral:lncRNA from 1 species
GGGGGGGGGGUACUCAAUGAUCUUCAAUUUCAUAUCUUGGCAUUGGACAAGGUCACGUUUUUCUCGGACUGUUGAUGACGUCUUUACAUUAAAUCCAUUGGAUGUUGGAUGUGUACUGCUUGAUAGCCCUAGAUGGAUGAUUUUUUUUUAUUAGUUGUUGGGGUCUUUGAACUAGCUUUCAGUAACUGUGAGUACUCUCAGAUCAGUAAUUAGUUGUUUUUUGUUGUUGGGAUAUACAAAUACCCGGCCACGUAACUGAUUUUUAUAGUUCGUUCUUAUGUCGUACUGUUACACCACUGUCCUAGAUUAAGUGGAAGGGUUGGGAUCCUGCUAACAUGUCUAACCCCACUACAUUCUAAAUGUAUGUGUCUGUCCCAAGUCAGGAGCCUGAAUUUCAGUUGUUGUAGUUUGUUGGUAUGUUACAUAUUUGUUUUUCGUUUAUUUUUUGUACAUAAAUAAGGCCGUUAAAUUUCUUGUUUGAAUUUCGGGGCCUUAUAUAGCUGACUAUGCGGUAUGGGCUCUGCUCAGUGUUGAAAACCGUUAUAGUGACCUAUAGUUGUUAUUCUUGUGUCCUUUUAUCUCUUGUGGAGAGUUGUCUUAAUGUCAAUCAUACCAUAUCUUUUUUUUAUGCAUACGUAUAUUGCCUUUUUUAACUUUUUGAUUCGAGUGUCAUUGGUGUUUUGUAGACGAAACCCGCGUCUGCUGUACAAAGUUAACGGUAUCUGGACGUUUCGUCUCCCGAGGGUAUCACCAGUCCAGUAGUCAGCACUUUGGUAUAUCAAUUAUGUGGUCAUUUUUAUUAAUUUCCUGUUACAAAACUGAAUUUUUCGAAAAACUAAGGAUUUUCUUAUCC